rnacentral:rRNA from 1 species
UACGAAUGGAGCGAGCGUUGUUCGGAAUCAUUGGGCGUAAAGCGUAUGUAGGCGGACUAGAAAGUCAGAAGUGAAAUCCCGAGGCUCAACCUCGGAAUUGCUUUUGAAACUCCUAGUCUAGUGUCCCGGAGGGGUUGACGGAAUUCCUAGUGUAGAGGUGAAAUUCGCAGAUAUUAGGAGGAACACCAGUGGCGUAGGCG